AGCGUACACGGUGGAUGCCUAGGCAGUCAGAGGCGAUGAAGGGCGUGCUAAUCUGCGAAAAGCGUCGGUAAGGUGAUAUGAACCGUUAUAACCGGCGAUACCCGAAUGGGGAAACCCAGUGUGUUUCGACACACUAUCAUGUCAUGAAUACAUAGUGGCAUGAGGCGAACCGGGGGAACUGAAACAUCUAAGUACCCCGAGGAAAAGAAAUCAACCGAGAUUCCCCCAGUAGCGGCGAGCGAACGGGGAGGAGCCCAGAACCUGAAUCGGCUUGUGUGUUAGUGGAAGCGUCUGGAAAGUCGCGCAGCAAAGGGUGAUAGCCCCGUACACUAAAAUGCACAGGUCGUGAGUUCGAUGAGUAGGGCGGGACACGUGACAUCCUGUCUGAAUAUGGGGGGACCAUCCUCCAAGGCUAAAUACUCCUGACUGACCGAUAGUGAACCAGUACCGUGAGGGAAAGGCGAAAAGAACCCCGGCGAGGGGAGUGAAAUAGAACCUGAAACCGUGUACGUACAAGCAGUGGGAGCACCUUCGUGGUGUGACUGCGUACCUUUUGUAUAAUGGGUCAGCGACUUAUAUUUUGUAGCAAGGUUAACCGUAUAGGGGAGCCGUAGGGAAACCGAGUCUUAACUGGGCGAAUAGUUGCAAGGUAUAGACCCGAAACCCGGUGAUCUAGCCAUGGGCAGGUUGAAGGUUGGGUAACACUAACUGGAGGACCGAACCGACUAAUGUUGAAAAAUUAGCGGAUGACUUGUGGCUGGGGGUGAAAGGCCAAUCAAACCGGGAGAUAGCUGGUUCUCCCCGAAAGCUAUUUAGGUAGCGCCUCGUGAACUCAUCUUCGGGGGUAGAGCACUGUUUCGGCUAGGGGGCCAUCCCGGCUUACCAAACCGAUGCAAACUCCGAAUACCGAAGAAUGUUAUCACGGGAGACACACGGCGGGUGCUAACGUCCGUCGUGAAGAGGGAAACAACCCAGACCGCCAGCUAAGGUCCCAAAGUCAUGGUUAAGUGGGAAACGAUGUGGGAAGGCACAGACAGCCAGGAUGUUGGCUUAGAAGCAGCCAUCAUUUAAAGAAAGCGUAAUAGCUCACUGGUCGAGUCGGCCUGCGCGGAAGAUGUAACGGGGCUAAACCAUGCACCGAAGCUGCGGCAGCGACGCUUAGGCGUUGUUGGGUAGGGGAGCGUUCUGUAAGCCGUUGAAGGUGGCCUGUGAGGGUUGCUGGAGGUAUCAGAAGUGCGAAUGCUGACAUAAGUAACGAUAAAGCGGGUGAAAAGCCCGCUCGCCGGAAGACCAAGGGUUCCUGUCCAACGUUAAUCGGGGCAGGGUGAGUCGACCCCUAAGGCGAGGCUGAAAAGCGUAGUCGAUGGGAAACAGGUUAAUAUUCCUGUACUUGGUGUUACUGCGAAGGGGGGACGGAGAAGGCUAGGCUAGCCGGGCGACGGUUGUCCCGGUUUAAGCGUGUAGGGGGUGUGACCUGGUAAAUCCGGUUACAUACUAACCCUGAGGCGUGAUGACGAUGCACUACGGUGCAGAAGUAGUUGAUGCCCUGCUUCCAGGAAAAGCCUCUAAGCUCCAGGUAACAUUAAAUCGUACCCCAAACCGACACAGGUGGUCAGGUAGAGAAUACCAAGGCGCUUGAGAGAACUCGGGUGAAGGAACUAGGCAAAAUGGUGCCGUAACUUCGGGAGAAGGCACGCUGGCAUGUAGGUGAAGUCCCUCGCGGAUGGAGCUGAAGCCAGUCGAAGAUACCAGCUGGCUGCAACUGUUUAAUAAAAACACAGCACUGUGCAAACACGAAAGUGGACGUAUACGGUGUGACGCCUGCCCGGUGCUGGAAGGUUAAUUGAUGGGGUCAGCCGCAAGGCGAAGCUCUUGAUCGAAGCCCCAGUAAACGGCGGCCGUAACUAUAACGGUCCUAAGGUAGCGAAAUUCCUUGUCGGGUAAGUUCCGACCUGCACGAAUGGCGUAAUGAUGGCCAGGCUGUCUCCACCCGAGACUCAGUGAAAUUGAACUCGCUGUGAAGAUGCAGUGUACCCGCGGCAAGACGGAAAGACCCCGUGAACCUUUACUAUAGCUUGACACUGAACAUUGAGCCUUGAUGUGUAGGAUAGGUGGGAGGCUUUGAAGCGUGGACGCCAGUCUGCGUGGAGCCAUCCUUGAAAUACCACCCUUUAAUGUUUGAUGUUCUAACUCGGCCCCAUAAUCUGGGGUGAGGACAGUGUCUGGUGGGUAGUUUGACUGGGGCGGUCUCCUCCCAAAGAGUAACGGAGGAGCACGAAGGUUAGCUAAUCACGGUCGGACAUCGUGAGGUUAGUGCAAAGGCAUAAGCUAGCUUGACUGCGAGAGUGACGGCUCGAGCAGGUACGAAAGUAGGUCUUAGUGAUCCGGUGGUUCUGAAUGGAAGGGCCAUCGCUCAACGGAUAAAAGGUACUCCGGGGAUAACAGGCUGAUACCGCCCAAGAGUUCAUAUCGACGGCGGUGUUUGGCACCUCGAUGUCGGCUCAUCACAUCCUGGGGCUGAAGUAGGUCCCAAGGGUAUGGCUGUUCGCCAUUUAAAGUGGUACGCGAGCUGGGUUUAGAACGUCGUGAGACAGUUCGGUCCCUAUCUGCCGUGGGCGUUGGAAGAUUGAGAGGGGUUGCUCCUAGUACGAGAGGACCGGAGUGAACGCACCACUGGUGUUCGGGUUGUCAUGCCAAUGGCAUUGCCCGGUAGCUAAGUGCGGAAAAGAUAAGCGCUGAAAGCAUCUAAGCGCGAAACUUGCCUCAAGAUGAGUCUUCCCUGGGCCUUUAAGGCCCCUGAAGGAACGUUUAAGACUAAGACGUUGA
rnacentral:rRNA from 1 species